rnacentral:rRNA from 1 species
AUUGAACGCUGGCGGCAGGCCUAACACAUGCAAGUCGAGCGGAUGAAGGGAGCUUGCUCCUGGAUUCAGCGGCGGACGGGUGAGUAAUGCCUAGGAAUCUGCCUGGUAGUGGGGGAUAACGUCCGGAAACGGGCGCUAAUACCGCAUACGUCCUGAGGGAGAAAGUGGGGGAUCUUCGGACCUCACGCUAUCAGAUGAGCCUAGGUCGGAUUAGCUAGUUGGUGGGGUAAAGGCCUACCAAGGCGACGAUCCGUAACUGGUCCGAGAGGAUGAUCAGUCACACUUGAACUGAGACACGGUCCAGACUCCUACGGGAGGCAGCAGUGGGGAAUAUUGGACAAUGGGCGAAAGCCUGAUCCAGCCAUGCCGCGUGUGUGAAGAAGGUCUUCGGAUUGUAAAGCACUUUAAGUUGGGAGGAAGGGCAGUAAGUUAAUACCUUGCUGUUUUGACGUUACCAACAGAAUAAGCACCGGCUAACUUCGUG